rnacentral:rRNA from 1 species
UACUAGAGUAGCACUCGCAUAUCAAUAAGCGGAGGAAAAGAAACUAACAAGGAUUCCCCUAGUAACGGCGAGUGAAGCGGGAAGAGCUCAAAUUUGAAAUCUUAAAGGGUUUCCCUUUACGAAUUGUAGUUUAAAGAAGUGUUUUCUGUUGAGGUUUUGGUAAAAGUUCUUUGGAAUAGGACAUCAUAGAGGGUGAGAAUCCCGUAUUUGACCUUUACUUUCAACUUUGUGAUACACUUUCAAAGAGUCGGAUUGUUUGGGAAUGCAGUCCAAAAUGGGUGGUAAAUUUCAUCUAAAGCUAAAUAUUGGCGAGAGACCGAUAGCGAACAAGUACCGUGAGGGAAAGAUGAAAAGAACUUUGAAGAGAGAGUUAAACAGUACGUGAAAUUGUCAAAAGGGAAGCGUUUGACACCAGUGUUGUUUUUCUGAAAAUCAAUUAAAGAACUGUUUAUGCUAAGUUGUUUAGACUUUAUCAGCUAUCUGCUUAGUUUUGAGCUUUUCCUUAAUGCACUUUUCAGUUAACAAGUCAACAUCAAUUUCUUUUGCUGUAAAAAAGCUUGAGGAAGGUGGCUUGAGAUUCGUCUUAAGUGUUUAUAGCCUCUUGCCUAUGCAGUCGGAGAGAUUGAGGUCUGCAGCGUAGAUCCUUCGGGGCUAAAUGCAUUUGUGCUAAGUUAUAGCAUUUUAUAGACAACUUGUUGACUAUGAUUUGUCUUGUAGCUUACUCGCUUAUGUUAUUUUACCUACGCUUAGGAUGUUGAGUAGCGACAUACGCAC